GAUGAAGAACGUAGCGAAAUGCGAUACUUGGUGUGAAUUGCAGAAUCCCGUGAACCAUCGAGUCUUUGAACGCAAGUUGCGCCCGAAGCCAUUAGGCCGAGGGCACGCCUGCCUGGGCGUCACACGUCGUUGCCCCCCCAUCUACUCCUUUGGGAUUGCGGGGGGCGGAUGAUGGCCUCCCGUGCGCCUCGUCGCGCGGUUGGCAUAAAUGCCAAGUCCUCGGCGACGCACGCCACGACAAUCGGUGGUUGCGAAACCUCGGUUGCCCGUCGUGUGCGGUCGUCGCGCAUCGAGGGCUCGAAAAAAUUGCCGGGCUCCGGCUCGGCUUUCAACGCGACCCCAGGUCAGGCGGGGUUACCCGCUGAAUUUAAGCAUAUCAAUAAGCGGAGGA
rnacentral:misc_RNA from 1 species